CAGUCGCCACGGGAAUACGAAGGGUGCAAGCGUUACUCGGAAUUACUGGGCGUAAAGCGUGCGUAGGUGGUGGUUUAAGUCCGUUGUGAAAGCCCUGGGCUCAACCUGGGAAUUGCAGUGGAUACUGGGUCUCUAGAGUGUGGUAGAGGAUAGUGGAAUUUCCGGUGUAGCAGUGAAAUGCGUAGAGAUCGGAAGGAACAUCUGUGGCGAAGGCGACUAUCUGGGCCAACACUGACACUGAGGCACGAAAGCGUGGGGAGCAAACAGGAUUAGAUACCCGCGUAGUCCCUGUCUCUUAUAC
rnacentral:rRNA from 1 species